AUAUUUCCCAAUUUCUCUUCUCUUUUGUGUUGGCUCUUAUGUAUGUUGUUGUUGGUGGGCUGUGACAUCCUUGUAGACUGAGUUGGGUGUUUUUACCCUCAAUUUGCAUAAUAAGAGAAGAAGAAGGGUGGACUCCUUCAAGUCCCGUGGUUUUUAUCCUUCAUACCGAAGGGGUUUUCCACGUAUAAAUCUUGUGUGUCACUUGCGUAUUUAUAAUUCAUAUUUGCUUGUGAUUCAAUUGAUGUGUUGCUGAUUUGAGCUUGGUUAACAUAGUGGUGAAUUUCUUUUGGUAAAUUGGUGAAGUAUAUUUGGUUGAUUGUCUUGAAGUCGAUCCUUGUAGGUGUUGUAUCCUACUUGUGUUGUUUUGUGCCUCCCCCUACAGAAAAUGCUCUUGGAUAUAUAUACAUUGCUGAAUUUUUUUUUUUAUCAUGGAGUCCUCUUUCGUGGAUCUUUAGAAAUGGUUCAAAUGGAUCAGGAUCAGUUAAUCAUGCUGAUGUAUUAAAAGCUCUUUCUCAAGCAUUGAAGAAAACAGAGGAGGCAUAUUUGGAACUAGCUAGUAGGAUGAAUAUGGAGAAUCCUGAAUUUGCUUUAAUGGGUUCUUCUGUUCUAAUUAUGUCAAUGAAAGGAGAAGAUGUUUAUGUGAUGAAUGUAGGCGAUAGUGGAGUCGUGGUAGCUCAAAAGAAAGAGCCUAAUCUGUGAGUGAAGAUUUGAAAAUGAUUAACGAAGAAACGUUAAAAGAUCUUGAACUUUUCGAUGGCGAUGAGUCGGUUUGUUUACCUAAAUUAGCUACUUUCAAGCUUAUUACAGAUCAUAGCACCUGUGUGUAAGAGGAAGUUCAAAGAAUAAAAAGUGAUCAUCCAUGUGCCCUGAUGAAUGACCACAUUAAAGGUUCAUUGAAGGUUACUAGGGCUUUUGGUGCUGAUUUCAAGAACCUAAAAUCUUAAAUGGAACAAUGCAUUUCUUGAGAUGUUCAUAAUCGACUAUAUUGGAACAUCCCCCUACAUCAGUUGUGUUCCAUUGCUCUAUCAUCACAGGUUAGGGAGAAGAGACAGAUUUUUGAUACUGUCAUCCGAUGGGCUCUAUUAGUACUUCACAAACGAAGAAGGUGUAUUAGAAGUCGAACAUUUAAUCUCAUGGUCACCAGAAACAGAUCCAGCACAACAUCUCAUCAAGACAGUAUGGUUUCGCGCUGCAAAAUAAGUUGGUAUGCGGUUUCAUGAGUUGCUUUAAAUACCAUAAGAGAAUCGACGUUGAUAUCAUGAUGAUGCUUCAAUAAUUUUUAUUUCUUUGGAGGGAAGAAUAUGAAGAUCCUGUGCAUAAGUAUGGAUAAAAUUGAAGAGUUACAGACCUAUUAAAAAAAAAAUCAAACAUCCAAUUUUUUUUUCUAAAUCACCAUUUUGUAAAUAGACACUAUACCUUGGAACCAGUGUUACUUAGUUGUAAAAUGUAUUGUGGGUGAUGGAUGGGAUU